GAUGAACGCUGGCGGCGUGCCCAAUACAUGCAAGUCGAGCGAACGGACGAGAAGCUUGCUUCUCUGAUGUUAUCGGCGGACGGGUGAGUAACACGUGGAUAACCUACCUAUAAGACUGGGAUAACUUCGGGAAACCGGAGCUAAUACCGGAUAAUAUUUUGAACCGCAUGGUUCAAAAGUGAAAGACGGUCUUGCUGUCACUUAUAGAUGGAUCCGCGCUGCAUUAGCUAGUUGGUAAGGUAACGGCUUACCAAGGCAACGAUGCAUAGCCGACCUGAGAGGGUGAUCGGCCACACUGGAACUGAGACACGGUCCAGACUCCUACGGGAGGCAGCAGUAGGGAAUCUUCCGCAAUGGGCGAAAGCCUGACGGAGCAACGCCGCGUGAGUGAUGAAGGUCUUCGGAUCGUAAAACUCUGUUAUUAGGGAAGAACAUAUGUGUAAGUAACUGUGCACAUCUUGACGGUACCUAAUCAGAAAGCCACGGCUAACUACGUG
rnacentral:rRNA from 1 species